rnacentral:rRNA from 1 species
UACGGAGGGAGCUAGCGUUGUUCGGAAUUACUGGGCGUAAAGCGCGCGUAGGCGGUGAUUCAAGUCAGAGGUGAAAGCCCGGGGCUCAACCCCGGAACUGCCUUUGAAACUAGAUCGCUAGAAUCUUGGAGAGGUCAGUGGAAUUCCUAGUGUAGCGGUGAAAUGCGUAGAUAUUAGGAAGAACACCAGUGGCGAAGGCGCUCUACUGGGCCAUUACUGACGCUGAUGGACGAAAGCUAGGGGAGCGAAAGGG